UAAACGGUCCUUUUUAGGACCACAUAUUUUGACGAUUGAGAACAAU
rfam:Sarcoptes scabiei Contig12412, whole genome shotgun sequence.